GACGAACGCUGGCGGCGUGCCUAAUACAUGCAAGUUGAGCGCUGAAGGUUGGUACUUGUCCCAACUGGAUGAGCAGCGAACGGGUGAGUAACGCGUGGGGAAUCUGCCUUUGAGCGGGGGACAACAUUUGGAAACGAAUGCUAAUACCGCAUAAAAACUUUAAACACAAGUUUUAAGUUUGAAAGAUGCAAUUGCAUCACUCAAAGAUGAUCCCGCGUUGUAUUAGCUAGUUGGUGAGGUAAAGGCUCACCAAGGCGAUGAUACAUAGCCGACCUGAGAGGGUGAUCGGCCACAUUGGGACUGAGACACGCCCCAAACGCCUACGGGAGGCAGCAGUAGGGAAUCUUCGGCAAUGGACGAAAGUCUGACCGAGCAACGCGGCGUGAGUGAAGAAGGUUGUCGGAUCGUAAAACUCUGUUGGUAGAGAAGAACGUUGGUGAGAGUGGAAAGCUCAUCAAGUGACGGUAACUACCCAGAAAGGGACGGCUAACUACGUG
rnacentral:rRNA from 1 species